UCGGGAAUUUUGGGCAAUGGGCGAAAGCCUGACCCAGCAACGCCGCGUGAAGGAUGAAGUAUUUCGGUAUGUAAACUUCGAAAGAAUAGGAAGAAUAAAUGACGGUACUAUUUAUAAGGUCCGGCUAACUACGUGCCAGCAGCCGCGGUAAUACGUAGGGACCAAGCGUUGUUCGGAUUUACUGGGCGUAAAGGGCGCGUAGGCGGCGUGGUAAGUCAUCUGUGAAAUCUCCGAGCUUAACUCGGAACGGUCAGAUGAUACUGCUGUGCUAGAGUACAGAAGGGGCAAUCGGAAUUCUUGGUGUAGCGGUGAAAUGCGUAGAUAUCAAGAGGAACACCUGAGGUGAAGACGGGUUGCUGGGCUGAUACUGACGCUGAGGCGCGAAAGCUAGGGUAGCAAACGGGAUUAGAUACCCCUGUAGUCCCUGAGCGGGCUGGCAAGGCGCAU
rnacentral:rRNA from 1 species